UGGGGAAUAUUGCACAAUGGAGGGAACUCUGAUGCAGCGACGCCGCGUGAACGAAGAAGGCUUUCGAGUCGUAAAGUUCUUUUAUAUGGGAAGAUAAUGACGGUACCAUAAGAAAAAGCCCCGGCUAAGUACGUGCCAGCAGCCGCGGUAAUACGUAGGGGGCUAGCGUUGUCCGGAAUCACUGGGCGUAAAGGGUUCGCAGGCGGAAAUGCAAGUCAGGUGUAAAAGGCAGUAGCUUAACUACUGUAAGCAUUUGAAACUGCAUAUCUUGAGAAGAGUAGAGGUAAGUGGAAUUUUUAGUGUAGCGGUGAAAUGCGUAGAUAUUAAAAAGAAUACCGGUGGCGAAGGCGACUUACUGGGCUCAUUCUGACGCUGAGGAACGAAAGCGUGGGUAGCAAACAGG
rnacentral:rRNA from 1 species